UAUGCUUUCUUAGUUUUAUUUAUUUUUAUUUUCAUCAUCCAUAGUUUCCGAGUGCAACCAAACCCUUUAUUGAGUCAACAUUUUAAGGAGUCUCUAAUGUCCCUGCCAGAAUCCUACAGCACAAAGACUAAACCAGAGUACCGUCAAUUUGUUCAAACCUAUGGCACCCAUUAUAUUAGCCAGGCAGACGUAGGAGGAGAGACAAUAGAGGUCAUAGCAAUCAAGACCUGCCAGACCGCUUUAGAUGGAGCUUCAGUGAAUGAGUUAAAGGACUAUCUGAACUUUGGGUCCUCUGCUGCAGUUACUGGGAAGAUGGAAGCGCUAGGAGCAUCCUUUAAAGGAGGUACCCAGUCGGGGUGCCAGGUGAUCCGUUACAAGGACAAUGAAAGGACAGUGGACGCAAUGAUACAUUCCAGAGGAAUGAUAUGGGACGUUCUUGCUCUAGUAUAGCUUCAGUAUCAAACUGCCUGGACAAGGCGUCGGCCUUGACAUUUUUAGAACCAGGUCUGUAAGUGAUAAGAAAAUUAAAGUGAGAAAGAAAUAGAGACCACCUAGCUGGUCUAGAAGAUAAUUGCUUAGCAUCUCCUAUGUAAGCCAGGUUUUUGUGAUCAGUAAUGAUCAAAAGGGGGUCCUUGGAACCCUCUAAAAGAUGUUGCCACUCCUUGAGAGUUAGAAUAAUGGGCAACAAUUUUCUAUUGCCAACAUCGUAAUUGCGCUCAGCAGGAGACAACUUUCUAGAAAAGUAACCAAAAGGAUGUAACAGAGUUUCCUGGCUCUCCGUCUGGGAAAGAGCUGCCCCUACCCCUGUCUCUGAAGCAUCAACCUCCAGUAUGAAAGGCUUACUGGUGUUAGGAUGUAUCAAUAUGUCGGUGGAGGCAAACCGUUGUUUGAGAGUUUCAAAGGCUUCAAUAGCCUCCUUAGACCAUAUCGUACUACUAGCCACAUUGCGUGUCAUAUUGGUGAUAGGGGCUAUUACUGAAAAAAAUCCCUUUAUAAAUCUUCUGUAAUAAUUUGCGAAACCAAUGAACCUUUGAAUGGCUUUCAACCCAUUGGGCAAAGGCUACUGUAGAACAGACUCUAGUUUUUUAGGAUCCAUCUGAAACCCCAAGGCAGAAAUAUUAUAUCCUAAAAACUGUACUUCAGACAUUUUUCCAAUUUACAAUAAAGUUUUUUUUUUUUUUUUAACAAGGUUUGCAGAACUUGUUUAACGUGAUCGUGGUGAGACUAGAGGUCAGGAGAAUAAAUAAGGAUAUCAUCCAGAUAGACCAAGACAAACGAGUAAAUAUAAUCCCUGAGUACAUCGUUAAUGAAACCUUGGAAAACCGCUGGAGCAUUGCACAACCCGAAUGGCAUCACUAGAUAUUCAUAGUG